rnacentral:rRNA from 1 species
CCUACGGGGGGCAGCAGUGGGGAAUAUUGCACAAUGGGGGAAACCCUGAUGCAGCGACGCCGCGUGAGUGAAGAAGUAUUUCGGUACGUAAAGCUCUAUCAGCCGGGAAGAAAAUGACGGUACCUGACUCAGAAGCCCCGGCUAAAUACGAGCCAGCAGCCGCGGUAAAACGGAGGGGGCAAGCGUUAUCCGGUUUUACUGGGUGUAAAGGGAGCGUAGACGGCAGCGUAAGUCUGGAGUGAAAUCCCAUGGCUUAACCAUGGAACUGCUUUGGAAACUGGGCAGCUGGAGUGCAGGAGAGGUAAGCGGAAUGCGUAGUGUAGCGGUGAAAUGCGUAGAUAUUAGGAAGAACCCCAGUGGCGAAGGCAGCUUACUGGACUGUAACUGACGUUGAGGCUCGAAAGCGUGGGGAGCAAACAGGAUUAGAUACCCCAGUAGUC